UACGAAGGGGGCUAGCGUUGCUCGGAAUUACUGGGCGUAAAGGGCGCGUAGGCGGAUACUUAAGUCGGGGGUGAAAGCCCAGGGCUCAACCCUGGAAUAGCCUUCGAUACUGGGUAUCUUGAGUUCGGGAGAGGUGAGUGGAACUCCGAGUGUAGAGGUGAAAUUCGUAGAUAUUCGCAAGAACACCAGUGGCGAAGGCGGCCAACUGGUCCGGUACUGACGCUGAGGUGCGAAAGCGUGGGGAGCAAACAGGG
rnacentral:rRNA from 1 species